CAAGAGUCAGCACCUCAACAAGGGCUGUUAUGCCCCUAGCUCACCAGCCAGCCUCCCCUGCAUGCACACCUGUGGGGGGAUGGAGAGUCUGCAGGAACUGCAUCCUCAGGAGGCGCAGAGGAAAUGGCUGCCACUACGAUGAAUGAGCUAAUGAAUGGCCCUUCGUAGCGGCGAUCGUGCGCUGCCCGGACUACCCGGCAACAGCAAACACCUUCGCCUGCAACCCCAGUGGAGCUCAAGUCCAGUGGAGAUGGGCUGUGUGAAGGGUGCCGGCCACGCGGGGAAGAAAGCAUGUAGACGGUGCAGAGGAAGGUUCCAGAUGCUCCCAAGAUGCCAACCAGACUUCUCUGGACAGACAACCCCUACCAAUGUGUCCUUGAGCCCAGCUUCCCCAGAGCCCCACCUCACUAUGGAAAGAAAGAGGCAGGCUGGGAGUAUGGAUCGACCAGUCAACACCCAUGUUCAGUGGGGAAGCAAUUACAGAAGCCAGACCUUCCACCUUCUGCAACCCACAAUGACUUUGGGUCCAUACUCCCAGAGGGAUAAAGAAUAGGAAAGCUAUCUGUGGAGAACCCUCUGGAGAACUCUCAGAAGGCUAGAAAUGGACCUACCCUAUGAUCCUGCAAUUCCUCUCCUGGGAAUAUAUCCUAAGGAACCCAACACACCCAUCCAAAAAGAUCUGUGUACACAUAUGUUCUUAGCAGCACAAUUUGUAAUAGCCAAAACCUGGAAGCAACCCAGGUGUCCAACAACAGAUGAGUGGUUAAGUAAGUUGUGGUAUAUAUACACAAUGGAAUACUACUCAACUAUUAAAAAUGGUGACUUCACUGUUUUCAGCCCAUCUUGGAUAGAGCUUGAAAAACAUCAUAUUAAGUGCAAUAAGUUAGAAACAGAAAGAUGAAUAUGGGAUGAUCUCACUCUCAGGCAGAAGUUGAAAAACAAGAUCAGAAGAGAAAACACAAGUAGAACCU